GGGCCCGCACAAGCGGCGGAGCAUGCGGAUUAAUUCGAUGCAACGCGAAGAACCUUACCAAGGCUUGACAUAUAGAGGAAAAGUGCAGAAAUGCACUCCCCGCAAGGUCUCUAUACAGGUGGUGCAUGGUUGUCGUCAGCUCGUGUCGUGAGAUGUUGGGUUAAGUCCCGCAACGAGCGCAACCCUCGUCCUAUGUUGCCAGCACGUAAUGGUGGGAACUCAUGGGAUACUGCCGGGGUCAACUCGGAGGAAGGUGGGGAUGACGUCAAAUCAUCAUGCCCCUUAUGUCUUGGGCUUCACGCAUGCUACAAUGGCCGGUACAGAGGGCUGCAAUACCGCAAGGUGGAGCGAAUCCCAAAAAGCCGGUCUCAGUUCGGAUUGAGGUCUGCAACUCGACCUCAUG
rnacentral:rRNA from 1 species